rnacentral:rRNA from 1 species
AAUGAACGCUGGCGGUAGGCCUGACACAUGCAAGUCGAACGGGGCUGAGCUUGUACUCAUCUGGUGUUCAUCUUAGAUGAACAGUAAUGAGUAGGGCAUCGGCAAAGUGGCGAACGGGUGAGUAAUGCGUGAGAAUCUACCUCCCACCACGGUGGAAGGGGUGUAUUGCCCCGAAUCCCGUAUACAAAGAAAAGGCCUAUAGAUGACCUUCGGGCAUUGUGCCGGUGGCAGAUGAGCUCUCGUAGGAUUAGGUAGUUGGUGAGGUAAAGGCUCUACCAAGCCAAAGAUCCUUAGCCGGUCUGAGAGGAUGAUCGGCCACACUGGGACUGAGACACGGCCCAGACGCUUUCGAGCGGCAGCAGUGAGGAAUCUUGGACAAUGGGCGAAAGCCUGAUCCAGCCAUACCGCGUGGGGGACGAAGGCUAAAUGGGUUGUAAACCCCUGACCUUGACUUAGAUUGUGACAUGGGUUGAGGCAAAAGUCCCGGCUAACUCCGUGCCAGCAGCCGCAGUAACAC